rnacentral:rRNA from 1 species
UACGGGGGGAGCAAGCGUUGUUCGGAUUUACUGGGCGUAAAGGGCGCGUAGGCGGCCACCGCAAGUCAGUUGUGAAAUCUCUGGGCUUAACCCAGAACGGUCAGCUGAUACUGCGGGGCUAGAGUGCAGAAGGGGCAACUGGAAUUCUCGGUGUAGCGGUGAAAUGCGUAUAUAUCGAGAGGAACACCUGCGGCGAAGGCGGGUUGCUGGGCUGACACUGACGCUGACAGCGCGAAAGCUAGGGGAGCGAACGGG